rnacentral:rRNA from 1 species
GUGGGGAAUCUUCCACAAUGGACGAAAGUCUGAUGGAGCAACGCCGCGUGAGUGAAGAAGGGUUUCGGCUCGUAAAGCUCUGUUGUCGGGGACGAAUGUGCAGUAUUUGAAUAAAGUACUGCAAUGACGGUACCUGACGAGGAAGCCACGGCUAACUACGUGCCAGCAGCCGCGGUAAUACGUAGGUGGCAAGCGUUGUCCGGAAUUAGUGGGCGUAAAGGGAGCGCAGGCGGGAAGGUAAGUCGGUCUUAAAAGUGCGGGUCGCAACCCCGUGAUGGGAUCGAAACUAUCUUUCUUGAGUGCAGGAGAGGAAAGUGGAAUUCCUAGUGUAGCGGUGAAAUGCGUAGAUAUUAGGAGGAACACCAGUGGCGAAGGCGACUUUCUGGACUGUAACUGACGCUGAGGCUCGAAAGCCAGGGGAGCGAACGGGAUUAGAUACCCCAGUAGUCC